ACAAGGCAUUUGCCCUGGGCAUUUGGGGGCGGCUUUUUUUGCCGCCCCCAAAUGCCCAGGGCAAAUGCCUUGUUAGC